rnacentral:rRNA from 1 species
UCCUUAGAUGUUCUGGGCCGCACGCGCGCUACACUGAUGCAUUCAACGAGUCUAAAACCUGGUCUGAUAGGGCUGGGUAAUCUUUUGAAAGUGCAUCGUGAUUGGGAUAGAUGAUUGCAAUUCUUCAUCUUCAACGAGGAAUGCCUAGUAAACGCAAGUCAUCAGCUUGCAUUGAUUACGUCCCUGCCCUUUGUACACACCGCCCGUCGCUCCUACCGAUUGAAUGAUACGAUGAAUACCAUGGAUUGAGAGUACGAAUGGGUUCGCUCAUUUCUGCUGCUCGAGAAGUGGAGUAAAUCUUAUCAUUUAGAGGAAGGAGAAGUCGUAACA